ACAGGUCCCACGAUGUUGAUGACUUCCUCUUUUUGUUUGGUUUCUCGGGCGUGUUUGGGUUUGGCAUUGCGGGGGUUGAUGGUUUGCGUUGAGCCGAGCGUUCUCUGUAUUCGUUGGGUUUGACUAUGUUCCUUAUCUCUAUCAGGUGGUUCUACCUUACACUUCCCAUGUGGGAUAUUAAUUGCAGCUAUUCACCAAUGUUAUUGCAGAUCAGAUUAUCCAUGUCUACAUUCAAUUUGUAUGGUUCACUCUGUAAUCACUCACUCUCUCAGGGAGCUCUCUUCUGGAUGCUCUUACUUAAAUCUUCUCCUGAUCUAAAUUUGCCUCACAAAUGAUUUUUUUUUUUUAUCUUGUUUAUUGACAUUGUGAAUUACUUGGCCUCAAAUUUCCUCAAUCCUCCCACAUGGAUUCUUCAAUGACUUUCCAAAACUUCUCAAGCGGUACCAACUUCUCCUCAGGAAGCUGGCAUUGACAAACCUUCAAACUAUAUCUGCAAGAAUCAUGAAUGUGAGAAUUUGGAUGAUGUGGAUGAUAAUUAAGAUAUUACUGUCAUCUUUUUACGCCUACUCUUUGAUUGAGAUGGUAUGCUGUUGUUUCCUUUGGCUGGUUGUAUGAUGUUAGAGCUGUGUAUAUGUUAGCUGAUGCUGAAUUUGAAGAUAAACAGUUCUCAAGACCUUGCACAGGAAUUCCUGCUUCUUGCACGGAAUUUAUGGAGCUAUUCCUGUUUAUUGUCAGUUUCUCACUUUAUCGAGCAAAUUUUUGCGAUUUUAUAUAUUAGGACAACUAUGACAAUUGUGAUUGGCAAAAUAUAGAUCAAGCAUAAUUGGGCAGAUCUUAGGACAAACUAUAUUUGGGGGAUGGUGACAGCAAAUCCAUCAUAAGUAUGGUUCCUGGCAGAUUUGAGUUGACACUUGACGAUCCUGUUGCUGGUCUGCUUGACAAUCUUCCUCCUUUACAUCUAUAUGUUCUGGGUGGAAUUUUGACAUAGGCGUGGACUUUGAUGACUUCUAUGGCUGGUCUGUUUAUUCCACUUCUCUCCAAGGGAAUUGACUUUGACUUUGCUUAAAAAAAUAAAAAAUUGCUUAUGCUAUCAUUUUUGGGGAAAAGUGAUUCACCGACUUAGUGUGGGAGAAGCAAGCUGGUACCCAGUAUCAUUCAUUUUUCAUGUGAAUUUUAGUUUGUUGGAGUAAUACAAAUAAGAAUUAUUGAAUGAAGUCUGUUUAGUUUUGUUGCCUUCUCCCCCUUUUGGAUUCAGAUUCCAGAUCCAUGUUGACCCAAAAGUUCUGUCAGGAGGCUGCAACUAUAGUGUGCGAGCUGAUCAUCACAACUGGUAACCAAUGAUGCUAUUAAACUUAUUUUUUUCACUCCACACUUGAUUUUUUUUUUCUUUUUGUUUUGGUAUGAGGACCUUGGUUCCUUUUUCCCCAUUUUAUUAUUGAGGUGAAUGUCAUAGCACUCACUCUCAUCAGCCUAGUGGCGGUUCCCCCAUCGGGUUGAAGUAUAUGAUUCUAUUUUGUCAUUCCCCAAACAAUCUUCCUCCUGUUAAAUGGCUCGGAUUACUUUGGUCUUCCCAACUUACAGAUUUUUGUUGGUCUAUUUCCUGUUAUUGAAUGUUGCAGAGUCUCUGCAAGGCAUACUUUGAUCUUCUGUCAGGGAUAUUCUGAACUAAGGGUACGGCAUAACAAUCUAAUAUAAUCACUAGCUACCAAGUUCUCUUAUUGAAACUCCAAUUAUUGUGCACAUAACAAGAUUUUAUGGAUACUCUCUUGUUCUUCUAUUGAGAAAAGGAAUCAAUUCACUAGUUCCUGUACUUUGUUUUCUAAAUUAGAAAUUUGUUAUAAUUGUUAGUCUCCAAUUGGCAUUUUGAGUACACUACAAACAAUGGAGAUUGUGUUUUUUCUUUCAAUAAAUCUUACCCGGAAACCUUGAAAAAAUAUUAAUUUUGUACAUUUGUGUAUGUAAGUGCUAUUUCCAUUCUUGUUGUUAUUAUCCGUUUUUAACAGUGUAUAUCUUCCACUAGUGUACAAAAUCUUAGUUGUUCGUUAUGUCUCUCUAACUCCAUGUUCUACUUUUUAUCUUAGAAGUCAGGAAAGAGGAUCUUUGUCCUCCAACUAUGGGAAGAGGGAAGGAUCUCGACUUCGUUUAACUUUGUGCAGCUUGGAUAUUUUUAAAGUAAAUGAUGAGGAAGGUUUUUUUGUAUAGAUCUAUUUCCUCUUCACCUUUUUCUUUGAGAUGAUAAUUUUCUAGGGCUUAUUGCUUUAGGUUGGAGGGUUUGCUGAAUUUGAGAAGUGAUGAUCGAUCCAUUGCCUUUUCUGCAAGGCUAAGUUGAUGAAUUGUGGAGACCAGGCUUUGUUAUAAAUUGGAUAAGCUCCCAUUUUUUGGAUUGAUGGUUCCAUUUAUAA